rnacentral:rRNA from 1 species
AACUGCGAGUGAAGCGGGAAAAGCUCAAAUUUAAAAUCUGGCGGUUUUGUCGCCCGAGUUGUAAUCUGGAGAAGCGUUUUCCGUGCCGGACCGUGUACAAGUCUCUUGGAACAGAGCGUCAUAGAGGGUGAGAAUCCCGUCCAUGACACGGACUCCCGGUGCUUUGUGAUACGCUCUCGAAGAGUCGAGUUGUUUGGGAAUGCAGCUCAAAAUGGGUGGUAAGCUCCAUCUAAAGCUAAAUAUUGGCGAGAGACCGAUAGCGAACAAGUACCGUGAGGGAAAGAUGAAAAGCACUUUGGAAAGAGAGUUAAACAGUACGUGAAAUUGUUGAAAGGGAAACGCUUGAAGUCAGUCGCGUCUUACUUGACUCAGCCUUGCUUCGGCUUGGUGUAUUUCAAGUAGGAUGGGUCAACAUCGAUUUUGACCGGUGGACAAGGGGUGAAGGAAUGUGGCACUCUUCGGAGUGUGUUAUAGCCUUUUCUCAUAUACAUCGGUUGGGAUUGAGGCCCGCAGCGCGCCCUUGUGGCCGGAGGUUCGCCUCACGUAACGCGCUUAGGAUGUUGGCAUAAUGGCUUUAAGCGACCCGUCUUGAAACACGGACCAAGGAGUCUAACAUGCUCGCGAGUGUUAGGGUGGAAAACCCUUGCGCGUAAUGAAAGUGAAAGUUGAGACCCUCCGCAAGGGGGUGCAUCGACGCCCGGCCCUGAAGUUUACUGACGGUGCUGCGGUAGAGCGCGYAUGUUGGGACCCGAAAGAUGGUGAACUAUGCCUGAAUAGGGCGAAGCCAGAGGAAACUCUGGUGGAGGCUCGUAGCGAUUCUGACGUGCAAAUCGAUCGUCAAA